GGCGAGAUAGCUCAGAUGGUUAGAGCGCAGGAUUCAUAACCCUGAGGUCGGCAGUUCGAUUCUGCUUCUCGCUACUA
rnacentral:tRNA from 1 species